rnacentral:misc_RNA from 1 species
AACGCAUAUUGCACUUUCUGGUAUUCCGGAAAGUAUGCCUGUUUGAGGGUCAGUCAAAUAAAAAUCGGUGUUGUUGCUGCUUUUCGUGGUGACGCGUCGGAAUUGAGUCGUCUUACCUUCGGUUAAGUGACUUAAAAUUUUGUAUGAUUUUUGAACGUAUUUAAAUUGCUUACGUACGUUUGAGAUAUCAAAUGUUUAUUAAGUUCGGUCAUCAUUAUGAUUCGCGCCUAUAAUUUUUCAUUAAAUGACCUCAAAUCAGGUAAGAAUACCCGCUGAACUUAA